rnacentral:lncRNA from 1 species
ACUUGGCCACCACCCCUGUGAAUAGCAUCAGAAUGAAGAACAACAUCACAGACUUCAAAGCAAAUACCUCUCAUGUUCUCUUCAGCCAAUGCACCUUCCUUCGAAGCCCACUGGAAACCAGCAACAACAGAAUCCUUAAUUUCAUUCAGGUACUGAACUCCCUUACACAUAUCCACCACCAUGUUGGGACCAGUUGUCUCAGGACCAAAGCACCAAAUCUUCUUUGCAAGAUCUUUGUCCCAGCCAAACUCCUCAGCCAAGAUCUUGGAACGAACCUUAGGGUCAUCCCUAGGGCCAAUGCGUCCCUCGUCAAUAGCCUCAGCAAGCCCUUCCUCCAUUGGUCUAGCCUCCAUGUACAAACGGUUAUGCUUGUUAGGGGACUUGCUCAUCACAGUUCGAGUGGACUUCUCGAGGACUGUCUCACGGAAGGACACAACUGGAUCAGAUUUUAUAAUUUCAGCACCGCCCAUAAAGUCAUCCUGCAAAUCCUUCAGACAGAUCUCAAGGUGGAGUUCUCCAGCACCAGCAAUAAUAUGCUCUCCAGACUCUUCAAUAGAACAAACAACCAUAGGAUCAGACUUAGCCAGACGUUUCAACCCUUCAACAAGCUUGGGAAGGUCAGAUGCGACCUUGCACUGAACAGCUACACGCACAACUGGUGAGACAGAAAACUUCAUUGCUCUGAUAGGGUGAGCAUCGACUUCCUUUUCAUUGGUCAAUGUUGCAUUCUUGGUAAUAAACUGAUCCAAACCAACCAUGGCAACAGUGUUACCACAGGGAACAUCCUCAACAGUUUCUUGCCUCUUACCCAUCCAAAUAACAGUUCGCUGGAUAUUCUUAACAUAUAGAUCCUUCUUUUCACCAGGAACAUAGUUAGGACCCAUGAUUCUAACCUUCAUACCAGUAGAAACCUUCCCAGCAAAUACACGACCAAAAGCAAAAAAUCUACCCUUGUCAGAUGCUGGAAUCAUCUUUGAUACAUAAAGCAUAAGCGGCCCUUCUGGGUCACAGUUCCUGAUAGCAUUAGCAUAAGCAUCAUCAAGUGGUCCCUCGUACAAGUUCUCCACACGGUAUUUUUGAGCUGUGGACGGUGAUGGGAGAUGAUAUAUCAUCAUUUCUAGAAGAGCAGUACUUGCAGGAAGCCAGGUCUGCAUCACACGCUUCAUCAGUGCCUUUCCCAUCAGAUCUUUUUCAUCAGAUUUCAUGGUUACACCAAGCUUCUGCAACAUAGGCCAGAGCUUAUCUUUCUGAUCAUUCAUGCAAGUGUUGAUAAUCUGCUUGAUUGGUUCAUAGCAGAAUUGAACAAAACCACGCUUGCACGAAGCUGAACCAGUGUUUUUGGUGGUCCACUUUUUGGUGGCAGGGUCAAAAAAGUUCUCACCCCACAGCCUCUCCAUCAUCUUAGACUCGUCAACACCAAAUUUGGAAGCAUACAUCUUGGCAAAAUUGGUGAGAGUGAAAGCCCACCCAUGCAACCCAGCGGAGAAAGCAACGGUACCUUUCUCAGGAUAAACCUGGACAUCACCAAGAAGGGGAUCCUCAUAUGUAGCCAUGAUAACAUUUGCAUUCUCAAUAACUCUUUGGAAUGUCUGAUAGGCCUCCUCUCCAUCAACCUGAAGCUCAAGGAAACACCUGUCCAUCUUGUUAACUGUCAAGACGGGACGAAUCCUUUCACCAAGGGCUUGACGGAGCACAGUCUCUGUCUGGACACAGACACCUUCCACACAAUCAACCACAACAAGUGCACCGUCAGUAAUACGAAGAGCAGCAGUCACUUCAGAUGAGAAGUCAACGUGCCCAGGUGAAUCGAUGAGGUUGAUGAGGUACUCGUUCCCAUUUCUCUCUCCCUUGAAGUUCCUCAAGGAGUCAUCAGUCAUCUCGUAGUAAAGUGAAAUACCAGUGGACUUGAUGGUGAUACCACGCUCAGCCUCAUCUGCACGUGUAUCUGUCAUUCUGACAUCACCUGCUACUUCCUGAGCAAUGAUACCAGCAGCCGCCACCAGAGAAUCAGUAAGGGUAGAUUUUCCUGUCAGGUUAAAUAUAUUGCAGGAUAAGAAACUCAAAAUCAUCUGAUAAGUUAAACCAUAGAUGGUAGGUACCCUAUUACCAACGAAUAGAAGAAAAACAAUAAAACAAUAUUAAGCAAACAGUAGCACCACAAAAAUAUACAGGGUGGUUUCAGUGCCCAGAUAUAUUCCAGAUGAUCACUAGACACAAGGGAUCAUAAUUUAAAUUACCUUACCUUUACAACAAAGAAUUUAGACAACUAUUGUAAUAAUAUUUGUACAGUUGCUUACCAUGGUCCACAUGAGCAAUAACAGACAUAUUACGAAUGUUAUGCUUGAAGUCCAUAAUCCUUCGAAGCUCCUCAGCUGUGAACUUCACCAUCUUGAAUGUUUGUUGUAGCAACUAAGAAUUACUUUAUUUUCCUGCCAUUUGAAACCACAACAAAUGUUAAACAUCAAUCAAAACACAGUUUAUUCUCCCAGAGUCAAAAUCCAUAUGACAAAGCCACCAACUAAAAAAAAGCUAAUUCAAGAGAUCCAUACAAAACACACCAUAUAACUCUGAAGCUAACAGAACAAUUCCUCCUACUUAAUUGAAUAUACGCACACCAUAAUUUCAAGUCAAGACUCACAAAUAAACACAAAAUCACUGAUCAAAAGAUUGUAAUUAAGCUUCUAGAACCGAACAGCAGAAACAGAAGGUUUGAUGUUUCAAAAUUGAGACAGAUUACAACCAGUAGUCUACCACUAUAGCGCACAUCUCUGUAUUAUGAACAUCUUAAUUUAAGACGGACAUAUACAGACACGGACACACACAUAUAUAAGCAGAUAUAUUGUUUCUACAAGGAAAUCAUCAGAAAUAAAACAGUCUAAACAGAUGAAUAGCAAGCAGCUUCCGGAAUAUUAACAUGAACUAAUAAAAACCCUCUUAACAUUCUCAAACGCAACAUCAAAUAACAUAUAUCUAUUAAAAAAGAGCAGAUCUCAAAGGCAACAUCAAAUAACAUAUAUCUAUUAAAAAGAGCAGAUCUGGACUAGAUCUAGAUAAAGUUCCUUCACAUUUCAUAAAAAUAUUCAUUUCAAACGAAAUUUUACCCCGAAAAAAUCAAAUCACAGCAUAGAUCAAAUGGUAGAAACUGAGAAUCUAUGAGUGCAGCGAGACGAGAAAGAGGAAAUGGUCACUUACUGAGAGGUAGGCGGCGAGUAUUGUGAGACCUUACAAUUCUGCCGCUAUGAUAAGCUGAGGUUAAGCAUUGUGCGAAGGUAUAUACCUCUCUUCAUGGGCCGCAGCCAGCCUAAAAUGGGCCAUACUACUAUCUUAUCUACAAUGGGCCUUUAGUGGGUUCAUUCAUAUAAACAAAAGAGAAAAAAAUCAGAGGAGAUACGUCUUCUUAACACUUCAUUGUCAUCCUCCACUUACUUUUUCAUUAUAUGACUACAAUAUUAUGUAUUCUAUAUAUAUAUAAUUAUAAUUGUUUGAGUGGGUAGUAUAAUUAUUUCUCCACUUGCUUUUAUGUUAUCCCCCACUUAUUUGGGAAUAUUGAAUUGAGGGGAUGAAAAAAAUUUAAAAUAAAAUUGCAGUGAUUUAAGUUAUUUUUAGUUAAGUGUAGGUGAUAAUUAAGGUGUUUUAUACGUGUAGUAGUUGCUCUUAUGUUUGCAUUAGCUAAAAAAAAAUUGGAAAGAUAUAAAGACCAAAGGAAAAGUGAGGAGACCGUAAUCUCCUUCCACCAUCACAUGCAAACGUUGAUUGAGUCCAUCGGAGUGCUGGAUUCAAAGCAGUGGCAUCAACAAGGAAUUCAGGUAAUCUUUUUUUUAUGCUAAGUAGAUUUUGUAUUAUUAUUUCACCUAAGAAAAUUCUUGUUUUUGCUCAUUAUUGACGGAGAUCGAGAGGCUGAGAGAGAAAUCAAAAUUUGUGUUUACAGGAGCGAAAAAAUUGUGUUGGAUUGAGUUUUGGAUGACUUUCAUCAAGUCUCACAAACACUAUGAAAUUCAAUCAAAAGAAGACUUCUUCAACUCUAUUAUAUCAGACAUCUUCUUUAAGUACUCAUAAAAACAUAAUUUUCUUCUUCUUUUUAAAUAAUAAAUGGUGUAAAUUAAACUGUUUUUUGUGUAAUUUCUUUUUCGAACUGAUUGAGCUCACAGGUAGCUAAUACCACUACUAAAGAAACGAAAAAAUAAUCAUAUCCAAAUUCAAUUUUAGUCAUCUGCUUCGAGCAAACUUCUUAAUUAUUGAACCUCUUUUAUAUAUAUACUUAUAAGAUAGUUUUUAUAGUGUACUAAGAAAAAAAAAUACAUUAUAAUGUUAUUGAAGCAUUCUGGAGUUCCUGUUUUUAAGAUUUUGUUAUCCAAAUAUUGAAAUUUGAUUCUAGUCCGUGAUUAUUAUAGUUUUUUCGUCAUUUGGGAUCUCUGGUAUAAAAUUAGUAUAUGUCAAACUUUGAGUAACUACAAAAUUGAAAAUUUGGUUAGAAAAAAGUCCGCUAAAAUGUGAUGAGUUGGUAAUUUAUCAAUAUCAUACUCUUAUUCGUCAAUUAGCAUUAUGUUUUAUAGGUAAUGAAGAAAAUUUUAGGUCAUUAUUCUCUCCUGGGCAAAAGUUUCUUGCAAAAUGAAGGAUGAAUGAUUUGGCGCAAAACAUUAUUAAAAUACAUUGGUGAGGAGUUAACGUCCAAAAAUUUGCAUAGGUGUUCCAAUGGCUCAAUAGACUAGAAGAUGAGAUGUUGUCUAGAAACAUCAGUAUCUUCGAUGAUCAAUCGAUACAAAUGCAGGCAUCAUUGGAAUAGGAAAAGAUUAAGCGGCAUAUCAAUUAGAACUGGAUGUUUCCGCAUCGAUGGAACACUGAUGCAAUGCAAGCGAAAUACGAAAGUUUAAGGGCAAAAAAAAAAGUCUUACUUUGGAAGGUUUUAAUCAAGAAAUUGAGAUUUGUAUAAUUGUGUAUUAUAAUUUCUACCCAAUUGUGUAUUAUUCAUUAUUGCAAAGUAUAAGUUGGGGUUGUUUCCAUUUCUCUCGACGGGGGAAGUCACUAUUAAUUGGGUUGAGGAAUUAUCCCAAAGAUCAAUCAGUUCACACAUUGAGCUUACAACUACUUUUCUUAAAUAAUUAUUCCACCUUACGCAUAUUGCACUUGAGGGAUGAGAUUAACAAUUUUCAUCAUCUAUCGACAGAAGCAAUUCAUAAAGUGUGGUUGAGAUUCAAGAAAAAGGUCUUGUUAUGUCUAAAUUAUGGGCUAUCAAAUAAAGUUUUGAUACAAAAUAUUUUGCCGUUCUUUGGAUGAGGUCAAACAACUUAGAUAUAGAUUUUAUAUGGACCUAACUUAUGCCUUAGUCACCGUCCUCAUUGGUCAAAUGAUCAAGAGAAAUAAGACAUGGAAUACUAGAGACACUGAACAACCUCUGGGUGUAGCUGCCAAGUAUGACGAAUGAGAUGACAAGAAAAGAGAAAGAAAGAGAAGAACAAAUGACAAAGUUGAUGACAAGUAGAGCUCUUGGACAAGCAUAUGUUGCACACCGAAAUAAAGUGUUAAUGUCAUUGGGUUACACAUAGUUAUCUAAUGAAGAAGAUAUUAUUUAUGCUUCAUAUGAUGAAGAGGUAAGAUUGAUGUGUCGCAAAUCUUGGCACAUUUGAUGCUUGAAAACUAUGAAUUAAUACUAUAAUUGAAUGUAUUUUUGUAUACUUUGAUGUGUUUGUUGAAUGUGUAGACAGAUUCUUGUUUGUGUAGAAAAAUGGAAAAAGAAGUAGAAAAUCAUAAGGAUCAAGUAAAGAUCAUGACUAUCCUCACGAACCGUGAUUCUCAUAAUAUUUUGUAGUUAUGCUUGUAAAGUUGAACCAGUGUUUGGGCCUUGGGAAGAUGGAGUGCAUGAGUAACUAAGUAAAAACCACAGAAGGCUCCACAGGGUCGUGGUCACUAUAAUGGCUCGUGGUAGUGAUCGUGAAGAUGAUCCAGUACUUAGACCUCGAGAAGCUUGAAUUGGAAGUGACCACGUGAAGAUCACAGGCACCUUUACGAACCGUGGUCAGUGCUUCGAUCUGUGAUGUUGUUUGUAGUACCCUUUCCAGUGUGAUGUCAUUGAAGACCCAACUUUGAAAAAUUUCAAACAAAGACCACAGACACCUAGAUGCAUCAUGGUCAUGUUGUCUGUGAUGCAUGUUCCAGUGGCCAAGUAUUGAGGACCCAAUUCUGGGGAGUUCCAAGGGAAGACCAUAGAGGGCUUCACAGAUUGUGAAGCCCUUAACGGGUCGUAGAGUUGUCCGUGAAGCUGCCCGCAUUUUACUCUUUUUAAAACACCUUAUUUGAAUUAAUUAGGUCAUUUUUAUUUUUUUUAUCUCAUCUUCCAUUAAUGAAGAACACACUUUCUAGUAUUCGAAGUUUUUGGAUUCUUGAAUUAAGUUUGAAGUUCAAUUUUCCUAUUCUUGAAUUAUCAAAGUGGUUGUUGAUUUACUUAUUCUCUCAUUUCAAGUUAUGUAAAGUACCCAAGGGCGUAAGCCUUUCGGCUGGUUUAAGAUGAUGAGAAAGAAAUGAAAACCCAUUUCGGGUUGAUUUGAUUCCUUCGCUUGCCAGGAAAUGAACUUUCUAAUAUGUUUUCAAUCUAUAUUUCUGAACAUAUACUUGAAAUUAUGAGUAGCUAAACACCACAACUGGGGUUGUGGGAUUCAUGUUGUAAUUCUAAUUGUGAUUUCGUAAAACAGGUGAAAGACAAUGCGUAGUUACAAACUAUAGUUUAGCUUUUGUUAUUCAAGUAUUCUGAUGAGUGCACAUAUUAGAGUGAUCCUUUAUCUUUCAUUUGUUAGAGAGAAAAAUGAUAGUUAGGAAAAAUCUAAAUUAACCUAACGAAUUGGAGUCAAAGUUCGAGAGAGAGAUAAAAGAACUUUAACACCAUUGUCAACGAGGGUAAAAUUAGUAACAUUUGAUGGCCGAAAGCACUUGAGGGAGAAUUAUAUGAUUAGACUUAGAAGUGUCGCAUAGAUUUUGUAAAGAUGAAUCACCUGAAACUCAAUUACGAAAGAACACUAGAUGUAGCGUUAUAAUCCUAAUUUCCUUUAAUUAGUGAAUCAACUUUAAAACUUAAGAUUCUGUUAACUGUUAAUCCAGAUUUCUGUUGCAAAUCUUACUUAUUAUAACAUUAAAACUAAACCCGAGUUACUUUCCAUCGUUGUUUCUUUAGGAGAUAAUAAUGACAUUCGAGUAAACGAGACAGUGAAACCAUUAUUGUAAAGCAAUUUUGUUACGUCCCAAGAACAUCCCUAGACGUGACAUGGCGUACUUGAAUCCGAAGGGAGGUAUCGUACAAUCCCCUAAGCAUAAUCAUAACAUAAAGAACAAUAGGAAUUUUGGAGAAAUUUAAAACUUUUAAAAACAUACAAUCGAAUUUCAUAAAUGCAAUGUAAGUCGUUGCUAAACUUUUGUAUCAAACCAUCUAACUUGACUUGAAUAUAAAAUCUUUGGGAUGUAGCCCAUACAAAGUCUUAAACAUAAUAGUAAAUGACAUAAGAAAAGUAAUAGGUCGUCCUUGGAACUAUGAGGACUCACCAAGUCUUCAAGCUUCCUUAGCUCCUCAAACACCUAUCUCCAAAGUAAAACUUAAGUCUCCAAAUCCUAAAUUUGAUUAGAAUUUAAGUAAUAUACAUUAGUACAAAAUAUACCAAGUAUGAAAGCUAGCACAACAACAUAUUUAAGCAUCAUACAGACAUAAUUGACUCUUCGUCAUCUACACCACCAUAGUACCAUUCUCAAGUAACCUCAAAAGCAUACAAGUGCAAAGUAGGAAUAUCAUCCCAUAAUACUACCCAAACCAUAUAUUCUUUCUUGGACAUCUUAAUAAUAGUCUAUACACAUGGUCUAAUUGUUUAAGUUUCUCUACCAUAAAGGCACCAUGCUUCUAGAUAACAUCAAAGCACACUUGUGCAAUGUAUGAAAGGCAUCCUAUACUACCCUUCACACUAAGCAUAACUUUGAAGUCAUCCUAGUCAUAUUCACCUUACUUUGGUCUCAUUAGUAACUUAAAUUCUCAUAACUAAGGGAAUCUCUCACCUUUAGUCAACUAUAGCAAGGUAGGAAACUAUGUCACAAUCCUAUCUCAACUCAUUCUCUUUAGUAACCCUAAGUCACGCUUGUGCAAUACAAUCACAACAUCCCAUAAUACUAAUCAUGCUAUUACUUUUAAGUCCUUCUACUAAUACUUCUUGGUUUAGAACCUAUGUCCUUAAUUAAUCUUUAGAACACUAUGAGGUACUCUCUUGAGCACAUCAUAGUUUAUUAAUAACUUGAACCCUAUGAUAUACCACUUUUAGUAUGUAUAAGUUCAUUUCUAGCAUGGAACCCUUUAAGAUACUACCUUAAGCAUGUCUAAGUCCAUCCACACUCUAGAAUAGUAUGAGUUACUUCAUUGAGUAAGUCUUAGUUUAUUAUGCUUUGAACACUAUAAGAUGCUUCUUAAGCAUGUCUUGGUUCAUUAUGUUUUGAACACUAUGAGAUUCCUCGCAAACAUGUCUUAGUUCAUUGGAUAUGGAUAUUGCUACUAGGAACCUUGACUCAACUACGUGAAGGAUCUCAUCUCAUAAGACCUAACUAUCUAUGGGUAAACCCACACUCUACUACGUAAGAGUCCCCCCUUUAACUUGGAUAGUCCUCACAUCAACUUGGUGCGAUUCCCCUUUCUACUUCAAGCACAAAUCUUUUCUUCUGUGACACUUCAUCUUAUUGUCAAUAUCCACUAAUAUCCAAGCAUACACCCUAAUGUUUACUGGAUAAUUCUUGCUUAACAUUCAUAUCUCAUAGAAGGAUGUCUUUGACAAUCAAUCCAUGAUCAUGUGAUUCUAUCACUUCAUACUUUCAAAUAUUUAUAAGGUAGGUUAGGUGAGUAUAGGCCUUUCACUAUAAUCCAACCUACUAGACUUCUAAUAUCUUUUAGACAUUACUCUCAAAGCCUUUACAUCAAUAGUUAAUCAUUAGCUUCACCCUAAAGCCCUAACUAUCAUGAUCACAACCUUACUCUCAAGGUUUCUUACUUAAUCUCUUCUUUAUAGAUAAACUUCAAGGUUUUCUAAUCAUAUCCCUCAUUAAUAGGUGACUCCAUAAAAAUUCAAAUUCAACAUUACAAGUAAACACCAAUCAUAACCGAUUAGUUUAAUUUCUAUUCAUAAUUAAGAGUUCCUAACCUUGAAUGAUUAGUACUUAAAACAUUGAUACAUGAAGGUUACUCAUGAACCUUCAAUUUCCUCAUCAAAAGACAUAAAACUACAAACUUUGAAAAUUAGGGUAAAUCAAAGAAUUCACAUAAUAUGUUCAUAAUAUCAUAAAUCAACACUAAAAUAACCACAUAUGAGUAGUACCUAACCAUUUGGAAUCACACCCACAUAAAACCCAUACAUUUGAAGUAACUCUAACUUGAUUGGGGUUCUUCUUCAUAAAUUAGGGGAAAUUCUAGGGGACUCUAUGGGUGGAAGAACCCAUGGAUGAAGAGCUAAACAUACCUUAAACAAUAUCCUAGAACAUGCCUUUAGCAAUUGAACCUUUGUUCUUGACCCUAGCUUUAAGCUCUAUCUCCUACUUCAAUGGGUUUUUAGAGAUAGAAUUUUUGGAAGGAAGAUGAAGUUAUUGAUUUGAAGUGGGUCGUCUUUGUAAAAGUGAUUUGUUUUGGGGAUAUUUUAUUAUAAAAUCCCUUAUAUAGUCAUUUAGAAAUAAUAUAAAAAAUACCCACUUUCUAAUUUAACUUAAUUUUUGCAUAAACUAUUCAAGUAUUUAUCAAACUCAUCAUGUAUUAAUAAAAGUUUUGUCAAUCAAAUAGCACUUAAAAGUAUAAUAACACAAAAACAAAGAAAAAUAAUGUCAUAACUAUGCAAAAUAAUACACAUAAAGAUUUCAUAAUGGAUUGAAUUUAUUCUAUUUAGCUCAACAAUUAUUAUGAUUUUAUAAAAAAUUUUGAGGGAAAACGACUCCUCUCAAAUAGCCCUAACAUCGCCGAGUUUGCCUAAUUGGUGAAUAUGGUUGCCACUCCAGUGUCCAACCUUCUUCUAAGGUAGGCCUGCCAGCGCCUGCAGGUCCUUCUUACGCAGAUUCACUGGAACAACCUAGAGCCAAAGAGAAGUCGUUGCCUUUGAAACCUAUAUCAUACUUGCAUGGGGAACCACAAGUGAUUUGGGAACAUGAAGAAGUAAAUCAAAUGAUCUUCAAUUGGAAAAUUUUCAUAUGGAUGGACAGAGAUUCAAGAUCUUCGGAAGCUAAUUCCAAAAUAAUGUGAAUUAAAGGAGUGCAAUAUAGGCUUGCUGAGUAACAUGCAUGUUUUGAUAAGAGAGACGUUAUUGGAAGAUUAUGUUCAUCUUUUAUCGAAGCUAGCUUUCUACAUAUCAAAGAAAAAUUGGUCUUUUCCAAAAUGAGAACAUUGAAGUGGGAUUCAUGUUCAAUCCAUGGGAGGAGACGUCAACGAUAAUUGCAUGGAUAUCUAUUCCUUCAUUGUCUCCAAAUUAUUUUGGAAAAGAAGUUGUCUUAUCGUUGACUGCUGCAGUAGGUAAAACUUUACAGGUGGACAUGGUGCAAGAGUUAAAGUAAAGGUGGACUUAUUGAAGGAAUUCCCAAAGCGUAUAAAAAUUGGGAUGAGGAUGAAGAAUGAGGAAGUACUUGAGAAGUAGAUAAAGAUUAAGUAUGAUUAUGUCCCAAAAUAUUGUAAGACGUGUAUGAUUCAGGGGCACAAUGAACAACAAUGCUAUGCUGAACAUCAAUAAUUGUAUCCAAAUAAAGAGAAGAUCGAUCAAGACACUGGAAAAAAAGGAAGAGGAUAACAAAAAGGAGAGAAGAGAAGAAAGGAAAGAGGCACAAAUAAGAGAAGGUUGAUAUACCGUGGUUUCACGGUAUUAUUAAUACUUUUUCCUUAAGUUUAGCGUGUCCAAAAGCCCUUUUGUGCUAAUUUUUAUAUAAGUUUCUCCUAAUUUGCAGGAAAUCUGUCCAAAGAUGAAUGCGGAGGUUUUGGAGCGAAGAAAUGCAGAAGAGACCACCUACAGAGCUUGUGACGGUCCGUCAUGCUUGUGAAGGUCCGUAGGUGGCAGCGUAGUGCAGCUGCUGAAAGAAGAUGGGGAAGUCUAACCAAGUGUGCGGUUACAAAGUCUAUGACGGUCCACCCUGUAGGUUCAUCAUGAAGUUCAGAGAAGUAGUCCCAGUACCCAUAUUCCAAGAGUUUAAGUGUUUUGGAACGAAGACCCUCGACGGACCGUUGUGCCUGUGACGAUCCGUCAUACUUGCCGUCGAGGGUAAUGAAGAGAGUAGCAGAAGAAAUUGCACAAGUAUGGGACGACGGAGUCUAUGACGGUCCGUCGUGACCACGACGAUCCGUCGCGAGGUCCAUCGACCCAGCCGCGUUUUGACAGAUUUCCAGCAAAUAGAAUCCUUGUUUACUAAGGUUUUUAUUUUCUAUAAAUAGUUCGAAAAACCUCGUUUUUGGGGUUAGACUCGGUAUUAUUAGGUCAGACUCUGGAUUAGUUGGUUAGGCCUUUGAUUAUCAUUAGACUUUUUGUGAGAUUCUUGAUUACUUUGAGAUUCUUGUAAGUGGUUGUUGGUGAUUUUUGUUGAUUAAUCAAGUGAACUUUCGGAUUUUACUCUUUCUCAUUGAAGUAAGUACAUGAAUUCUUAUAUCAUAUAUUUGAAUAUUGUGAUUAUGACUAUGGGUAACUAAACUCCAUAACUAGGGUUGUGGGAACCAUAGGCAAAUAGUAAGGUAAAACCUAACUAAAUAACAAUUCUAGAAUAGUGUCUUGCAUGUAUUAAUAAUUCUUUCGCUUAGAAGUCUUUUUAAUGGAUGGCCAACGUUAGAACUCGCCUUAAUGCUACUUGCCGGGAGGUAGAUAAUAGGAAAAAAAUUAUCAACAUAGAUUUAGUGUACUCUAUCUAAUAGGCUAGUAUUGAUUGGUACGAGGUAAUAACUUAGUCAAAUAUCGAAUAUGAUGCUUAAUAUGAGGUAAAGAUAAGGGUUAGGAUAGCAACACACGUAGCUGGACCAAGGUGCGGAGUGAAAUUUUCUAGAUGUCGGACCAAGGAUUUAGAAAUACAUAACUUAUCACUUUGCAUGCAAGAGACUAGGAAAGAAUUGUUAUAGUUAGACUUAUCAAGUUAUGAACCUAUGGGGAACACGUAAACACUAGUUACUUUGAUUAAUUGAUUAAACUCCAACAUUCGAAGCUGUUAAGUGUCUCUUUCAAUUUCGCUAGUUAUUUUCAUUUAUUUAGAAAUAGAAACCCCCUUUUUAUUGUUUUUGCUUUCCAAGGAAGUAAUUGACUGAACAAUAGUAAUAGUAGAUUGAAGUUAAGUCUAAACUAUUUUUCUCGUGGGAACGAUCCCAACCUCACUAGUUGGAUUAUUUACUUGACACGACCGCUUUACUUCUUAUUUGAGAAGUAAGUUUGAGCAUAUCAAAGGGGAUCAAUAGAAAGAUAAAAACAAAGAUGAGUUCAUGGAGCAAAGACACAAAAAAUUGGGUGAAAGGAAAAAACUACCAGAAUAAGUCUGGAACAAGGUGGGUGUAGUCACAGGGAACAAGUUUAAUAUGCUGGAACAGGAAGCACAUAAGGAAGCGGAUGAACAAUUCAAGAAAGUGGCUGCAAUUGGGGUGGAUGAAGAAGGCACUAUGGAAGAUCAAAAAUCAACUCCUGGGAUAGAAAAGAGCGAUGACAAAAAAAAUAUGUCUGAUGAACGACACACAACAGUCAGUAAAAAUGUGCAAUAGGAUGAAAGCGAUAGGGUCAACAGGUCCGAUGGAAAGAUUAAAACAACUAGCAAAAGUAUGCAACUAAAAGAAAUAAACAAUUAAAAGUCACGGGAAAAAAGUAAAACAUAUGCAUUCUCAUCUAGUUUGUUACCAAAAAAAAGUAAUGAGGAUGGGAUGGAAAAGGACAUAGAGGAGAUCGAUACAAUGACAAAGAAAGGAAAGAUUUACGGGAAGAGAAUAAGGAUGAAAUUCAAUUUUUAAUGAAGACCGAAGAGGACGAAGAUAUAGACUACAAUGUACACAUGAUUAGUAAAGCAUCAAUUCUAUCUCCAAGACAUACUAAUAGUCUAAAAAAAUAGCACAAGAAAAGGUAUGUCAAUAAUACCUUUACAGGUCAAAACAAGGAGUAGUCGGGAGAAAAUAUCCAGUAGUGAUCAAUGAUAGAAAAACUUCAAUUUUGGAAUAUUAGAUCCGUUAACACUCAAAAAUCUUUUGAGAGAGUAAUGGAUUUAAAUAGAAGACAUCAUUAUUCUUUCAUAACAUUGAUGAAACCCUUUCAAAAGACAACUUGGUUUUGACCCAUGCAUGUGUAAAUUGUUUUGGGAAAAUAUGGCUAUUUUGGAAUGAAGAGUGACAGGCCAACAUUAUUCUGGACACGAUUCAACAAUUACUAUGCAGUUUAGCAAAAAUAACAAAAGUGUCAUCAUCUCAAGUGUUUAUGCAAGAUGUAAUGCAACGGAAAGAUUGGAAUUAUGGGAUGAUCUGGAGAGUCUUGUUGAUAGAGAACAGUGCCCUUGGAUUAUUGGUGGAGAUUUCAAUGUUAUCCUAAAUGAGGAGGAAAAGCUAGGGGGAUUACAAUUCACAAGGUGGAGGCUUUGGAUUUUGCCAUUUUUAUUAAUACUUGUGCGAUGACAGAGUCCUCUUUAUGGGAAGCAAGUAUACUUGGUGGAUGGUAAAAUUGAGAGAGAAUGCAUAUUCAAAAGGUUAGACAGAAGUUAGGUGAAUUAAGAGUUUAUGGAUUUAUUCCCUUCCUCUGAGGUAGACGACUUAAGUCGACAAGGAUCAGAUCAUGCUCUACUUCAGUUGGUAUGUAACUCAGAGGAAGAACCGGUUGUAAAACCUUUUAGAUUCUAAAAUUUUUGGAUCAAACAAAAUCAAUUCCAGGAUAUUAUUGCACAAAAUUGGAAGGUGGAAUUUGCUGGAAGUCCUUUUCUAGAAUUUUAGGCAAAAAUAAAGAGAGUUAAAAAGGCAUUAUCAUGUUAGGACAACGAAGCCUUUGGAAAUGUAUUUUCAUCACAUUGCUACUAUAGAGGAUUUCAUCAAGGUCAAGGAAAUUCAAAUGGAGUUACAACCCUCACUAGAAAAUGAGGCUGAAUUAAUCAAGAUGGAAGCAAAACUAAAGAAGUACCUUCACUUAGAAGUAGAAUUUUGGAAGAAAAAAGCCGAAAUGAAAUGUUUUGUAGAGUGUAAUAAUAGGAAGGUUCUUCAUUCGUACAUUAAAGGGAGAAGGAAAAAGUAACAUAUAGCAGAAAUCUUAACGGAUCAAGGUGAGGUUUUGCGAUCGAAUGAACAAAUUGGUGAUGUCGCGGUAAAGUUCAUUGCAAAUCAGUUCAGGGAAGAUAAUUUUGGCAAUGAAGAUGACAUGUUAGAAAAUAUCCCUAGAAGAAUUUCAGAAGAAGAAAAUGAAGAGAUAAUUAGGUUGUCAGAACAGAAAGAAGUCAGAAGGGUCGUAUUUGAAUUAAGUGAAAACAAUGCUUGUAGUCCUGAUGGUUUCUCAGGGAAUUUUUUCUAGGCCUGCUGGGAUAUAAUCAGAGAGGACAUUACAAAUUUGGUGCGAGCAUUGUUUUGUGGAUAGGAGUUGACAAAGUACAUAACUCGUACUAUUUUGGUCUUACUUACCAAAUAAGAGGUGGCGAAGAAUUUUUCUGAUCUCAGGCCUAUAAGUUUAAGCACAUUUACUAAUAAGAUCAUAUCUAGGAUGCUUCAUGACAGGGUGUUAGCAGUUCUUCCUAAUAUUAUAUCUUCGAAUCAAUCAGGCUUCGUAAAGGGCAGGAAUAUUGCUGAGAAUCUGUUGCUAGCUUAGGAAAUCAUCCAAGACAUAAAUAGGAGGAACAAAAAUAUCAAUGUGGUAGUAAAAUUUGACAUGGCAAAAGCGCAUGAUAGAGUUUCUUGGGUAGUCUUGACUAAAGUUCUAAGAAUAUUUGACUUUUCUGAGGUGAUUAUUGAUAUGGUAUGGCGUUUGAUUUCUAAUAAUUGGUAUUUAGUACUAAUAAAUGGUAAGUCACAUGGUUUUUUCCAUUCAAUGAGAGGUCUGAAACAAGGACAUCCACUUUCUCCUACCCUCUUCAUUAUUGCCGCUGAGGUUUUAGCUAGAAGCCUAAAUAAGUUGAAUAAGAAUGCAGCGUUUAAAGGAUUUGGUCUACCAAAGAGGAGUCCUAAGAUUAAUUACCUCUCCUAUGUGGACGACACAGUCCUGUUUUGUUCAGGAGAUAGGGUUUCAAUAAUUAAAAUGAUGAAAGUUCUAAGAUAUUAUGAAACUACUUAGGGAUAGAUGAUUAAUAAGGAAAAGAGUUUUUUCUAUCUUCAUGGAAAAACUCCAUUAAUUGUGGCAAUCAGAUUGAGAAGAUUAGCGAGAAUUAGGCAAGGCAACUUUCCUUUCAUGUACCUAGGUUGUCAAGUUUUAUAUGGGAGAAUGAAUGCAAUCUACUUUGAAGAAUUGAUAAGGAAAAUUUCAAGAAGGUGUUGUCAUGGCAGAAUAGAUUUUUAUAUUUCGGUGGCAAGAAAGUAUUAAUAAGUACUGUCCUACAAUUGAUUCCUAUAUAUCUCAUUUCGGCUAUGAACCCUCCAAAAAAAGUAAUUGAGCAAAUACACCAAAUAUUUGAAAAAUUCUUUUGGGGAAAUGUUGUGGGAGUUAAAAGAAAGCAAUGGGUGGCUUAGGGCGAUAUGUGCUUUCCGAAAAACGAAGAAGGAUUGAACUUUAGGUCAAUGCAUGUUGUUUAAAAAGCACUUUUUGCAAAGUUAUAGUGGAAUUAGAGUCUCCACAACAUCCAUAUGGGAAAAAUACAUGUGGAACAAGUAUUAUAAGAAAGUUUAUCCUGUCAUUGCCAAGAGUACUGGGGCAUCACAUGUAUGGAUAAAAAUGAUCAACGUUAGGGAGGAGGUAGAUCAUAUUAUUUGGUGGCAAAUAAAAGCUGGAAAUUCGAGUUUCUAGUUUGAUGAGCUCUUUUCUAUACGGAAGGAGAUAUGGCAAAAAAGGAGGUAAUAGAAGUCAGAGAAAUUUUUAAUAAUGGGGUUUGGAAUGAAGGUAAAUUGAAGGCAACAGUAUCUAAAGAAAUGUAUCAGCAUAUAAUAGAGAAUAUUAAAAUGUGCAACUAUCCAGUAUUGAUAAGGCUUAGAGGAUUGGUAACACAGGAGAGAGUUUCUCUGUCAAAUCAGCAUUUAACAUUCUCAGGAAUAAAAGGGACGAAUUUGAAUGGAGUACAAGUAUGUGGAGCAAGGGACUUGCUUUUAAGAUUGCGUUCUUUUUAUGGAGGGUAUGGGGCUAGUAAAGGGAAUCCAGGUCAAAGCGCAUAUGGUUUUUGCAUUAGAAAUAGAGAGGAGGAUUUAAUAUAUGCGGAGGCAGAAAGUAUAGGCUUGGUUACGAAUAUAGAGGCAGAAAUACAUGCGAUAUGGAAAGGUUUACAAUUUUGCUUAAGCCAGGCAUUUGUUCAAGUAAGAUUAGAAACAAAUUAUUUAGUUCUAAAAAACAUGAUCAUAAGGAAUUGGAGAAUUCCAUGGGAGCUGGUCGAGAAGAUGGAGGAAAUACAAGAGAUGAUACAUCAAAUGAAUGUCCAAGUUAAACAUAUUUCCAGAGAGGCAAAUAUGCUAGCAGAUUGUAUUGCUAAUACAUCAGUAUAUACAGUAGAGAAGACAGAAUUUCACAAUUUAAAUCAAUUGACAAGCAUGGGCAGGAGGAUUCAUAAUAUUGAUAAAUAACAGAUUUCGUUGAUCAGAGUAAAGACAAGGCGAAUAAAUUACAACAAUAACGACUAACAUGCUUAUAUACAAUUAUUUCACAACAAUUAUAUGUUAUGUUGGAUGAUCAAAAGAGUUGUAGGGGGAACUAACUAUCCUAUGUUACGACAAACAACAAAAAGUCAUCAGUAUGAAGCAAGAGAAAUUUCGUUGAAUUUGCAUUCGUCACCUACAUUCAUCUAGGAGAUCGAGAGGAAAGUGUUCAGGAGCUAAUCCCCAGAGUUGAAGACUCGUACUCUCUUUAGAUGUUCAUCAUGAACUUAUUCUAUUCGAGCAUUAGACAUUAAAAAAUUAAAGCAGAGUCAGCCGAGAAAAGGAGAAACAAAUAUGAGAGAUGGAAAGAGAAAGUUACUUUUGAAAGUUGAUCUUAACAACAUAACUAACAACAUCAGGAUGAAGAGUGUCAAUCACACAAAAAAGAAGCAUAGGACAAGCGAGAACAUCUUCGAGGAGGCGGAGAGCACAAUUAGGAAAUCCUUUCUUAAAAGGACACUUUUAUUACUCGUUUGGUCGUGAAAAUUUUGGACUGACCAGUUUUCUUUUUGAAUUAUGUAUUCGGAUCCGUUUGUGACUUUCUGUAUGAAUAAAAUAGACUUUUAGUCCAAAUUUAAUUUAGAAAAAAUAUUAACCUAAAAAUAAUAUUUAUUAAAACGACCAUGCUCAUAUGGACUUUUAGCCAAAAAAACAACUAAAUUUUUUUUAAGGAAUCAUUUAAGGUCCUUGAAGUGGUCCACUAGCCUUGGACCCUCCCUUGGACUUUGCCUUUGGCUUUUUAAAGCUAAGGCAUAUCCAUGGGGGUAUUCAAAUUACUUAUUUAUACCAUAUAUAUAUUUAUUUAAAAUAAUAUAGACAAUACUAAUUUAAUUUGGACUAGAAAAAAAAUACCGAAAAUGCCCAUUUUUAUGCCUUCCUUAGAUUGCCCAAAUAAAACUAAGUCAAUUACCAAAAGGGCUUCUAAGGGCCUUGGAAUGGUCUACCAUCCGUAAACCCUCCCUUUGACUUGCCUUAAGCUUUUUGAAAUUAAGGUAUAAGUCUAUAAGGGAGUACACGAUAGUGGCCCCCACAUGCAUUGCCUAGUGUACUAAGGCAACCCUCACACGUGGUGGUCCCUGUUCAGUAAGGCCCUCACUUUGACCUUAUACCCUCACGCGUAUAGCCCCUAAAAAAUCUUCUAAGUGUCUAAGCGGACCUUUAAGGGUCGUGGACUACUACAAGUUCCUUCAACCAUACAUAAGCUUCCAACUUUGCCAAAAAAUUUCUAGGUCAUUGUUCACGAAAGCUUCCAGGACAAUGGUGCUUUUUUUACCGUCUCUUAAAAAUAUACUUAGCCAAAUGUUUGGACAUUUUCAUAUUUCCUAUGCAUAAAAUUCUAAAAUUCAAAUGUUAGUCUCUACUUUCACCUAGUAAUUUUCCAGGUGUUACAAAUUCUCUUCAAAAAACUCUUCGAGAAAUAGUGAAUGCACAAGAACUUGAGGCACAGAGCCAAAGGCUAGGACUGGAAGCUGAAGCUGCUGCAAGAGGUUAUAACACCUCUAAAAGGACUUAGGUGAAGCCAGAGCCUAACAUGUGUGUCAUGAGGUUUAAAAUUACUAAAAUUGUUUAUAAUGAUUUUUUGAGGUAGUGUUUAAAGUUUGGAAGUGUUUAUAGGUCAAACGUCUAAGACGUUUGAUUUGCCUUGAGACGUGCUUGUAUGUUUAGGUGUGCCUUUGCAUGUUUUAUGCGUUGUAUGUAAUUUAAAUUGAUAAGAGAGGUUCCUAACAUGUAUUCGAGAGUAUUUUAGUUGGAAACGUCUGGUCAUGUCUCCAUAAGGACCGCCAUAGGGGUCCUUGAGGAAAACUCAACCUUGGGCUAGCAAGUUGCCCAAGGCAGCGCCCAACUACUCAUGGUAGGAACCAGUCCACGUCGCGGACAUUGGUUCAUGGAGGGCCAAAACAUUGGUCAGCGUCGUAGACACAAGGCGGACUCUACUAUCUUGGAUUUUAUUUUUAAAAAUCAUGCGGAAGCAGCUCCGCAUCGCGGACUUGUUUCCCGAUGAAACGUUAAAAGGUCCUAUAAGUGCAGGGGUCUUUUAGGUAUUUUGGGUACUAGUUAUAGGCAGUUAUUAAGCUUAUUUAAACCCCGAUUCACCAUUUAAAUCAAAACAAAACCUCUCCAUCUCUUCUCUCCAAAAACCUCCAUUGAUGAAGAUUUGAAGCUCUAAAGAAGAAGACAUAUUUCCAAGUUUUUCUCCAUCAAUUUAAUGUUUAAUGUGCUUUUCAUCACAAUUAAGAUAUGGUGUUUCAUCCUUGAAUCCUCUUUCUUCAAGGAUUCAAUUUCAAUGAAUUUCAAAGAUGAUCAAAAAGAUGAAUUCUUCUAUUUUCAUUUCUAACCAUGGGUUCUUGCAUAAAAUGUUUUAGAUCAAUGAGAUAUAAUUGAAUUAAUAUUAAUUUGAUGAUUUUGGAUAAAAAAAAAACUCCACAAACCCAUGCAAAUCAUGAAUUCCUUAUUUUGACUAUAUGAUGGGUGAUUUGAUCGUGUCUCAAUUGUGUUGAUUUCUUAUGUAGAUUUUAUUGGGCUAUUGAUAGGUAUGAAUUAUGUUAGAAAUGUAUAUAGGUUGUCUUAAUUUGAUGACUUUCAUAUUGGGUCUUGUUGAAUCAUUGUAUAUUGUGAUUAUUGGGUUGAAUUGGUGAUCAUGAUUAUUGGUAAAAGCCUUUAUGGAUUGAAUUGGCCGAAUUAACUAUGGAUUGGAGAUGUUGUGAUUGGAAUAGUGGUAUGUUGACCUAACCUAUUCUAUAUUGUGUAGUAUAUGUAUUUCAAUUAUAAUGCUUGGUAUGGUCCACUUAUGUGGCAGUGCUUAUACGUAAUACUUGUGAAUAAUGUGGUCUCGUCGACAUUACUUUAUGAAUUAUGAUAUUAUCAUGUUAUAACUUGAAUAUGUGAGUAUUGUGAAGGUCUUGAUGACUUAUGUGUAUAUGUGAAGUCAAAGUAUGUGUUCUUCUAAAUGAUUAUAUGUGAUCAUGAUAGGUUAUAGUGAUGCCUUAUAUAUAUAUGCUUGAUAUUGAAGUGUGAAUCUUCCUAGUUGACUGUAUGAACAUUAUGAUCAUUUAUGUUGAUGAUUCUAUAGAGGUGUGUAGGAUGACUUGCAAGUAACUUAGUUGACCAUGUGUGCUACUUGUAUUGUAUUGUACAUGUGAUAAGAUGAUGAAGUGUGUCUUGUUUUUGUAGACCUACGUCCCUUGCUUGAUGCAUGAAGAAUGUGAGUAUGAAUCCUUGACUUAGUAGGCUAAAACACCUUAGUCAUAAAAGUAUAUGUAUGAAUGGAAUAUGAUCUUGAAUAAGGUUAAGAAGGUCAUUUAUUUAGAACCUUUUAGAAAGAAGGUUAUGAUAUCCUUGAAAGUGAAAGUCAUAAUGGUAUUGAUACGCUCAAACUUACUUCUCCAAUAAGAAGUAAGGCGGUCGUGUCAAGUAAAUAACCCAACUAAUGAUGUUGGGAUCGUUCCCACGAGGAAAAUAGUUUAGACUUAACUUCAAUCUAUUAUUACUAUUGUUCAGUCAAUUACUUCCUUGGAAAUCAAAAAUGAUAAAAGGGGGGGUUUUCUAUUUUUAAAUAAAUGAAAAUAACUAGCGAAAUUAAAGGAGACAACUAACAGCUUCAAAUGUUGGAGUUUAAUCAAUUAAUCAAAGUAACUAGGGUUUACGUGUUCCCCACAGGUUCGUAACUUGAUAAUUCUAACUAUAACAAUUCUUUCCUAAUAUCUUGCAUGCAAAGUGAUAAGUUAUGUAUUUCUAACUCCUUGGUUCGGCAUCUAGAAAAUUUCACUCCGCACCUUGGUCCGGCUACGUGUGUUGCUAUACUCACCCUUAUUUUUUACCUCAUAUUAAGCAUCAUAUUCGAUAUUUGACUAAGUUAUUACCUCGUACCAAUAAAUACUAGCCUAUUAGAUAGUAUACACUAAAUCUAUGUUGAUAAUUCUUUUCCUAUUAUCUACCUCCUUGGUCCGGCAAGUAGCAUUAAGGCGAAAUCUAACGUUGGUCAUCUGUUAAAAAGACUUCUAAGCAAAAGAAUUAUCAAUACAUGCAAGACACUAUUCUAGAAUUGUUAUUUUAGUUAGGUUUUACCUCAUUAUUCGCCUAUGGUUCCCACAACCCUAGUUAUGGAGUUUAGUUACCCAUAGUCAUAAUCACAAUAUUCAAAUAUAUGGUAUAAGAAUUCAUGUACUUACUUCAAUGAGAAAGAGUAAAAUCCGAAAGUUCGCUUGAUUAAUCAACGAAAAUCACCAACAAUCAAUUACAAGAAUCUCAAAAUAAUCAAGGUUCUAACCUCAAAAACGAGGUUUUUCAAACUAUUUAUAAAAAAUAAAAACCUAAUUAAGUAAAGACUGUAUUAGCUGGAAAUCUGUCAAAACGCAGCUAGGUCGACGGACCGUCGUGGUCACGAUGGACCGUCAUGGACUCCGUCGUCCCAUACUUGUACAAUUUCUUCUUCUGCUCUCUUCAUCACUCUCGACGGCAAAUAUGACGGAUCGUCACAGGCACAAAGGUCCGUCGAGGGUCUCCGUUCCAAAACACUUAAACUCUUGGAAUUUGGGUACUGGGACUACUUCUCUGAAUUUCAUGACAAACCAGCAGGAUGGACCGUCAUGGCUACGACGGUCCGUCACGCACUCCGUAACCCCACACUUGGUCAGAAUUCCCCAUCUUACUUCAGCAGCUGCACUACGAUGCCACCUACGGACCGUCACGGGCACGACGGACCGUCACAAGCUCCUUAGGUGGUACUUUUUUGUAUUUCUUGCUCAAAAACAUCUGCAUUCUUCUUUUAGACAGAUUUCCUGCAAAUAAAAAGAAACUUACAUAAAAAUAAGCACAAAAAGGCUUUUGGACACACUAAACUUAAGGAAAAAGUAUUAAUAAUACCAUGAAACCACGGUUUAUCAGGUAUCCUUCUUGUGUGAAUGGUGGACUUCGGAUGGUUGACUGGAACAAUAUGAAAUCAUCCUUAGGAAAGACAUUGAGCUAUCCUAGUAAACAUUGUAGGCAGCCCUAGUGGACCCUCUUUGGUAACGUGUAUUGUGAUUUGGUUAUGAACAAUAUAUGGUACCUCUUCAUAUGCUCCUUUAUUGAAUUACUCUAUGAUAACAAAGGCUAGCACCGAGUGAGUAUACUUGGGGAGUAGCUCUAUUUGAGAUGGAGACUUGAUUACAAAUAAACCCUUUAUAUUCCUUAAUCAUGUACCUACAUGGGUUGUGUCCUCGUUCUACCAUUGGCAAGUAGUUUACCUUUAUUAGAGUAGGGUUGACUCCAAAUUACAUGCCUAGCUAGUAUGGUCUAUGUUAUUUAUUGCUUAUGCUCAUCAUGUGGGAUACAUAUUAGUAUUAGGAUAAGUUCUAUGAAGUUUAGGUAGUGGAAUGGGACGCUAUCUAGACAUUGCAUGAGUAGGCUUUGAAGAUGUUAGUAUUUAGGUUCCCUAGGUCUUCUCCAAGAUCAUUAUGUGAAAUUCCUUAUUGUUGAAUGUUUCUUAAAUGGUCUAAUGAACAUAGUGACCUAAGCUAAAUGCAGGGUAAUGAGAAGGUACUUAUCUAGAGUAGAUUUGAGGAUUGCUUAGAUAGGCUUUGAGAGGGUGUAUGGGUGUUCUCUUUAUGUCUUACUUAAGUGAGUCAUAGAGUAAUUCUAGGUAGUGAUUUUAAAUGUAUGAAAUGGUAAUAAUCUUAUCUUAGGUAAUCUAAAGGAUCAAUUUUGGUGUGUGUGAAGGAUUGUAUGGGCGAUCGCUUCAUAACCACUCAAGUGAGCCUUAAAAUUUCCUUUGUUAUGAGGGUCUCAUGGUUAUGUGAAUUGAAGUGAUAUUGAUGUCAUAUUGUGUAAUGUGAAUAUAUGUGCUUAUGUUGAAUUAUGUGAUCUCUUGUACUUGUUUAAUGAAAUUUUACUCAAAAAGAGCAUGUUUUAUACAAAUGUCCCUUCAGCAUGAUUUUGAUUGCAUGUCACCAUACUUAGUGCAUUUUAAUGUACUUAACUUCAUAUAUUUUAUCUUAUCUCUAAAGGUGUAGGUGACAUUUGAGAGGAGUCUUGAAGUGGAAGCUUGGAUUAGUGUUCAUCAAGCAAGUGUUGGUAUGUCCUCACUAUAUUCGAGGACAUUAUGAUGUUUAGUUGUCCUUAUUGAAAGUAUUGUAAUAGACAUAGAUGUUUCUAUAUUUUGAUGUAUGGGUCGUGUCCCAAGAUAUUCGUGUGUCUAAGAUGACAACUUUGAGACUUAAGUAUUUCCUAUAAUGUUCUAUGAAAGAUAUUUUGAAUUAUUAUUAUUUCGUGUGAAAAGUUUUAUUACGCACUACUUUUCAUACAUGUAUGCAAUGAAUGAUGUGAAAGGGCUUGUACAAGACCUCUGAAAGGUCAAGUAUGCCGUGUCACGAAUUCUUAGUACCAUAUCUUUAGGCUAUACUCUCGGAUCGUGAAAGAGGUAUUUAGCCAAAUGUUGUGAACAACCAACCUAUGACAGUGAACAAAAACAUAGUGGAUGAAAUCAUUCCUUCCUACCGCCAAACAGUAGCUCCAAAAGGUAAACCACAACACCCAACUUGCAUAAUGUAUGAAGAAUAUGAUGCAAACUUAGAUUGAGUUGGAGCUACAGGAGAAAUAGUAUUACCUGCACUGCUUCAGGUGUGAAUUCACAAUCACCAGCACUAUAAUCCAAUUAUUGAAUCUGAAAGGUGUGUUUAGGGAUGCAGCUGGUGAUGAUGUGAAUCAAUACUUGAUGAAAUUUUUGGCGAUCUACAAAUCACAAGAAAUCCAUGAGGUUAGCUAGACACUAAUGAGACUGAGAGUGUUUCAUGUUGUCUCUUAUUGGAGAUGCAAUAAAUUGGCUGAAUGAGAUACCUGAUGACUUAAUCAGGACUUCGACUAAACUGAAGUAAGUGUUCAUGGAACAAUUCUUUCCAGAAUUAAAAGAAUAGCAAAUGAAAGACGAGAUAAGUGAUCAUAAGCAGUUACCAAGAGAACCAAUGCAUUGACAUUUGGUGGAGAUUCAACCAAAAGUUGAAAAAAUGUCCAAACUAUGGUCUUGCUGAGAGAUAUCUAAAAUGGACAUUUAAUAUAUCUUUAAAUUAUGUUACGAAACUUGUUGUUUAUUUAGUGUGUACAUUAAAGCAUGCAACUGAUGGAUACGAUAUCAAACAAUAAGAGGACAUGGUACACGAGGAGAUCUUAGGUAUACUUAUGAACUUUCCAAAUAGAGAAGAAGAAAGGGAUGAGGACAUGGCAUACAUGAGGACUCAAAUAGAUAUACUCACGAAGCAUAUUGUCUCCAAGUCUAAAAAUCUCAAUGUUGUGGGACAACAAAAAUGGUAUAAAGAUCAGGACAUCAAUCUAGAUGAGGAGGUUAGUUACCUGGCCACCAAGAAGGUUUCCGAAAUUAUAACUCGGGAAACUGGGUACCAAUAUGGAAAUGCAGGUCGGAAUUACUCUAGAGAAGGACAUUAUGAUAGGCCAGCAAACAGAGAGCAUAAAAUUGGCAGAACAGAUAUUGAUACAGAAAUGAUCGCAGUUGUGACUAUGUUCCCCCAGGAAGUAGAGACCGAGCAAGUGGUACUUCCACCGGGUCUAAGCUGGAAGACAUGUUGUCAAGGUACUAAAAAAAGUGAAAUUAACUAAUGAAGAAGUGAAGGAGAUUGAGGUUAAUUAUCCAGUAUUAUUUAACUGGUAGACUUUCACACCACCUCCAUCAAGCCAAUUAAGCAGCAGUUGGGGAAACUUUCAACCUCAUUAAAUCAGAGGAAGAAUGGGUCACUAUCAAGUGACACGAUUUAAAAUCCUAAGAAGGACGGGCAUGCAUGGUUAUCGCCACAAUGCGUGGUAAGAUUAUUACUUACCCUAUUUCUACAAGUAUUAAACAUGAUCAGAUGUUGGAGCAAGCUGGAAGAAAGGAGGAUGAAGCUGAGCAUGUACAUAACUUGGAGGAUGCUUAGUCAAUAGCAUAACCUGCAAGAGGAAAAGAAAAGGGGGUUGAGGAAACAUGAUUUUACAGAAAAUCCCAAGACCACCUCCUCAUUUGCCUCAAAGGCUUAAAAAUAAAGCCGAAGAUAGGAAAUUUGCAAAGUUCAUCACCAUGCGGCGACAACUGUCAGUCAACCACUGGUGGAAGCACUAGAGCAAAUGUUAGACUAUUCCAAGUUCAUGAAGGACUUGGUCACAAAGAAAAGAGUUGUAAGAAUUUAUUUAAAUGAUAAUGUUCAACAUUGUAGUGUUACUACUACUAGGUCUCUGGUACAGAGAAGGAAAAAUCGGGUGCAUUCACCAUAAUUUUCACUAUCUGAUCAAUUUAAUUUGCAAAAGCCUUGUGUAACCUUGGGUUAGCAUAAACUUGAUAUCACUGGCUAUCUACAAGCAACUAGGAAUGGGAGUUCUGAAACCCAUAACCAUAAGGUUGAUGAGUGCAGAUAGGUCAGUGAAGCGACCUGUGGGCAUCCAAUAUGAUGUGCUCAUAAAGGUGGAAAUGGUUAUCUUUUUUGUAGACUUCGUGAUCUUGGAUGGCAAAGAAUAUUUUUAGGUUACCAUUAUUUUAGGAAGAACAUUUCUGGAUACAAGGCGAGCAUUGGUAGAUAUUGAGCGAGGUGAACUGAAAUUCAAACUUAACAAGGAAGAGGUAAAGUUUAAUAUCUGCAGGUCCAUGAAUCAACCACAUGACAUAAAUGUAGUGUCUGUAAUAGAUGUCUUUGAUGAAGAAGAAAUAAGAGCAACCAUUGAAGAGAGGCUGGUUGUUGAGACCUUAGCUACAGGCUGAUGAAUUUCCAAGCUGAUUUUUGGUCUGACUAUGUCGAGACCAUGAAUGAUUUGCAUGACAUGAGAGCACACUCUUAUGCUUCAAAGUUAUUGGACCUGGAUUUGAAAAACAAGCAAAGUCCUCCAGCAAAGCCAUCCAUUGAUAAACCACCUUGUGUGAACUAAAAUAGUUGCCCAGUCACCUAAGGUAUGUACUUUUUGGGAACUAACAACACUUUACCAAUGAUUUUGGCUGCAGAUUUGAAUGAUGAACAGGUCCAAGUUGUGAUCAAAGUGCUAAUUAGGUACAAAAGGUCCAUUGGUUGGACAAUGCUGACAUUAUUGUAUACAACCGGGUCUAUGCACCCAUAAGAUCAAACUUUACGAGGAUUACAUAUCAAGCAUUAAACACUAGAAGAAGAUAAACCCGCAUAUGCAAGAAGGUCAGAAAGGAGACAAUCAAGUAGUCAGAUGGUUGGUAUGUAGACACUAGUUCAAUCCAAUGCAAUGUGUGCCCAAAAUGGUGGUAUAAUUAUCGUCGCAAAUGUAAAGAAUAAGUUAGUCUCACAAAGACUAGUUAUUGGAUGGCGAGUGUGUAUGGACUAUAUUAAGCUAAACAAGUGGACCUUGUAGGAACACUUCCCCAUGCCCUUCAUGGAACAGAUACUUGAUAGGUUGGUUGUAAAAGGGUGGUAUUGCUUCUUAGAUGGAUACUUUGGCUAUAACCAGAUAUUGAUUGCUCUUGAAGAUCAGGAAAAUAGUACCCUUACAUGUCCAUAUGGAACCUCCGCGUUUAAACGAAUGACAUUUAGACUACGUAAUGCACUGGCAACUUUCCAAAGGUGUAUGAUGUCUAUCUUCUCUGACAUUGUGGAGGAUACUCUAGAGGUCUUCAUGGAUGACAUUUCAGUUGUAGGUGAUACCUUUGAUGCUUGUAUUCUGAAUCUUAGAAGAAACCUACUAAGAUACGAGAAGGAAAAUCUAGUGUUGAACUAGAAUAAGUAUCAUUUUAUGGUCAAUAAAGGCAUAAUCCUCGGUCACAAGAUGUCAUAGUAAGGGAUUGAGGUCGACAAUGCUAAAAUUGAGGUGAUUGAAAAGUUACCUUCACUGAUCUGUGUGAGGGAGUUCGAAGUUUCUUAGGACAUGCCUUGUUCUAUAGGUGUUUCAUUAAGGACUUAUCCAAAAUUGCACACCUCAUAUGGCAAGAUUUUCGAGAAGGAGAUGAAAUUUAUCUUUGACGAGGCAUGCCUUCCUAAGGGAGAUGAUGAUUUUUGAACCAGCGAUCAUUGGGCCCGAUUGGGUAGAGCCAUUGAAGGUAAUGUGUGAUGCUAAUAGUACUGCUUUAGAAGUUCUAUUGGGACAGAAGCACAACAAGAUGUUUCAUCUGAUUUACUAUGCUAAUAAUACACUAAAUGGAGAACAACGCUACUCUACAAUAACUGAGCACAAAAAAUUGGCGGUUGUGUAUGCUUUGAAAAAUUCCAAAUUUACUUGUCGGGCACUAAGUAGUCCAUACAGACCAUGCAUCUCUAAGGUACCUCAUGACAAAUAAGGAUGCUAAACAAGAUCAGAUGAAUGUUACUUCUCUAGAAGUUUUACUUUGAGGUUAAGGAUAGGAAAGGUUGUCAGAACCAAGUGGCUGAUCAACUAUCGAGGUUGGAGGCUGAAAAGAAAGAGGAACUCGAGCUCGGUACAAAUGAUUUGUUUUCUGAUGAGCAGGUAUUAGCCGCUACUCUUGAUCUUAUUCCUUGUUUGCUGAUUUUCCUAACUUUCUCGUUAGUGAUUUGAUGUAUGAGGGGUUGACAUAUCAACAAUUAAAGGGAUUCCUACAUGAUGUGGGUAAGUAUUUUUGGGAUGAACCUUAUUUGUACAAGGUGUGUGCUAACAACAUCAUCAGUCUAUGUGAUGCGGAACUUGAAAUGUUGCAUAUUCUAAAAUCGUAUCAUGCUUCUCCGGUAGUUAGACAUCAGUAUGUGAUGUAUGUAGUAAGGAGUUGUGAUGUGUCCCAACAUCGAAGAGACAUCUUUUUGCGACAUGAGUCACCCAUGACACCUAUUUUGGAUGUGGAGUUGUUUGAUAUGUGGGGAUCGACUUCAUGGGACUAUUUGUAAGCUCCUACGGGCAAAAGUACAUAUUAGUUGUAGUGGACUAUGUGCCCAAAUGGGUUGGGUAGUUGUUUUGCCUGAGAAUGAUGGAAAGAGAUUUAUCGAUUUUCUUGAAGAAGAAUAUCUUCUCAAGGUUGUCAUACCCAGAGCUAUCAUCAGUGAUGGUGGUUCUCAUUUCUUCAAUAAGGUGUUCGGUUUUCUUCAAGCUACAUAUGGAGUUAAAUAGAAUAAGGUAGCAACAAUUUAUCACCCACAUACCAGUGGCCAAGUGGAGGUCUCCAACAGAGAAAUUAAAGUAAUUCUGGCUAAAACAAUGAAUGUCAAUAUGACAGAUUGGGCAUGGAAGUUAGAUGAUGCUCUAUGGGCAUAUCAUACAACUUUCAAGACGUCUAUUGGUAUGUCUCCAUAUCAAUUAGUGUUUGUAAAGAUAUAUCAUUUUCUGGUUGAGCUUGAUCAUAAAGCAUUAUGGGCUUUGAAGAUGUUGAACCGUAGUUGGAGUGAAAUUGUGAACCUGAGAUUAAAUCAGAUCAAUGAGAUAGAUGAGUUCUAUCUGAGAGUCUAUGAGAGGUUUGCACUGUAUAAGGAGAGGAUGAAGUUAUAUCAUGACAAACAUAUUGAGAAAAAAGAUUCAAUCCUAGUGAUUUGGUAAUUCUUUUUUAACUUCAGGCUUCAUCUGUUUUCGGGUAAAUUGAGAUCCAAAUAGUUGGACCUUUUAAAGCUACUCAAGUGUUUCAGAUGGGUGCUAUUAAUCUUGAAAAUGACAAGCGCGAGAAGUUCAGAGCCAAUGGUCAGUAAAUCAAGGCAUAUUUGGGUGUUCUAGAGGAUGUGAAAAUCGUGGAGGAAUGUAAACUUGAUGAAAUCUGAGUAAUCAAGUAACCCGCAUCACACUGCGACUUUAAAUUAUGCAACCCAAGAUGUAAUUGUAUUAGGUAUUUUCCUUUUUCCUUAUUUUUCUUUAGUUUUAUAGAGUCAUUAUGUGUUGAUGUGUGCUGGAGAGAAUGUCUUCAAAAUUGCAAGAAUAGGGUGUAAACUACUCUUCACAGGAAGCUUCAAAGACUAUGGUGCCCGUCACGGGCAGUUUCACGUUCCGUCAAUCUUAGCACCAACCUAAAGGAUCAACUAGAAUUUACAAGAAAAAAGUUGACGAAAAGGUUCACGGUCCGUCAUGAUUUGUAUGGCCUCUCGUGAACCACAUGUAAGUAUGUUGUCCCAAGUCAUGUUCACGAACCAUUUCACAGACCGUGAUGCUCUUCAUGGGAAGUUUCACAGUCCGUCAUCUGUUAUCCAGCAGCACCAGACCCAACCGGACCCACGAUGAACCUAAACUUACAGGAAACAUAUAUUAGAUUCCUAGGCGCCAAAUGUUGGCUUCUUACCCUUAUUUUCUCUUCAUUCUUUAUCUUAUAACAGUUACUAGGUAUAACCAUUUCCUAUCAUAAAAACAAUCUUAGUUCCUCAAAGAAUUCAAACCCUAAACUAAAGUUGGUCAAGAAUUUCAAGUCAGGUUCAUCUUUACCUUUUUGAGGGAAAUUUUCUUUUAAGUCCAAGUAAGUUUUUUCUACCUUGUUAUAAGUUUGAUUUUAUAUAAAAAAAACAGUUACAUUCACUUCGAUUUAGUCGAGUUUAUCAUGUGUAUAUGAUGAACUAUCUUGGUUGAUAUUGAAUUAUUGUGGGUUGCAAUAAAUUAAGUGUUCUUGUAUCUGGGUAUGAUUACAGUAGGUAGUAAUUGUGUGCUCACUGUGUUUGAUUAAAUUGGUUAUGAUUUUUUUUAGGAGGGUUAGUUGAAUUUCUGGAUAAAAGUGUUGAGUGGUGGAUAUGUGUUGAUUGUGAUCUUGUGGAAAAAUAAGGGUUUGACACUAUAAAUAUUUCUUAUAGACAAUGUGAGGAAGACGGUUACUAAAGAAAUGGGUAAAUGUAUGAUCACGAUAGGUUUAACGAACCAUGGAAGCUACCAUGAGUCGUGAAACCAAUCGUGGACGACACUUGAAUUCAUUCCACCUAUUAGAAAAGUUCAUAACCAGUAUCACAUAUUGUGGUUCACUCCAUGGGCUGUGUAAUCAUCCGUGAACAUUACUUAGUCAACCCUAUGUUUUAUUUUUUUUAUAUUCUUAUUUUGUUCAUCUUUUGAUUUCGUGGACCUUUCCAGUGAUAGAUUGGGUGACGACAUUCUUAAGGCAAGCCGUCACGAUGUAAUUACAUAGGGGAGAUCUGAGUAUUUGAUAUUAUGUCAUUUUAUUGACUUGCGUAACUAAUUAUUUUUGUAAUUCUCAGGUACUAUAGCUCCCCAAAGAAAGAACGCAGACAAACCUACCCCCUCCUCUCAAUGCUUCUCAAUCAUAGGAUCGUGAUAACUCCAAUUCUAGUAGUUUUGAGGUGCAAAUAAAUGCCACCAUUGAUGAUCACUCACCUUGGUCUACUAGAGCACAGACAAAGAGGAAAAUUCUCCAGGAUACUCUUCCCUAGUCUGAAGAGGGUAGUAGUCAUUUUGUUAGCAGUGAAGAAUCAGGUAGUGAAUAUAAUGUGGGCUCAGGUAGACAGUCCACUAAUAAUUUUUGGGGCAAUGCUAAGUCUGAAAGUGGCUCUCAGGAAGAUCCAAACACCUCUCCACCUGCGGUAAAUACAAAAGCUGAAAUUAGAGUAUAAGAUGAGACAGAUGAUAUACAUGAGGACAUAGAGAUCACCAUUGAUGAUAUCAUGGUAAUAUAUGUGAACAUUCACGAACCUGAUCCCGCAGCAAGACAAUAGUUGAUUGAUUGUUACCGUUCCAUGUGGAAUGUGAAUCAGUCUAAAGAAUUUUCCAACAAUGCUAUCGUGGCCAAUAAUGGCAGCAAGAAAGCUGAUAUCAAGGCAUUCCCCGAGAUUUAUCGGACAUUAUAGUUCCAUCAGUUCGAUUGGAUGAACAAUGCAUCAAGAGGAUACUCUAACCACCUAGACAAAGAGCUUUAUUCAUCUUAUACAACUACACUAAUGAAGUUUGUUGCCAUUUUUUGAGGUCCACUCAACUCAAUUAUAGUUCGGGGAAAAUGGAUAGAUAUCUCCAAGGCUAGUAUUAACAGGAUGUUUCAUGUCCCGAAAUACUCUUUACUAGAUUCAGUUGGUAUUUUGAGGGAAAACAUAAUUACAAAAGAUUCACUAUAUUUUCCAACCAAGGUUUGGUGGAUUGUUAUCCAUGUGCAAUUGAGACCGACAACUAAUGAUAACACAUUGCCUCCUUCACUGACUUCUUUGGUAGCAUGCCUCAUGGAUGGUUACCCGGUAAAUGUGGGGCUCAUCAUAGCGUCCAAGUAGUGAGACAUGGCACUAAAUGAGAGGCUGAAUUUUCAUUUCCCAGUCUGAUAAGAAUAUUAUGUCGACAAGCAAACAUUCCCCCAAACAAGAUGGUUGACAGAUGGGGUGAAGCAUUCAGACUAACCCAGGUUUCUAAAAUCAAGGAUUUCGCGAACCAUCUUUUUGGUGCAAGUCUGGAGAUGUGGGUAUUUUGGUCACCGUUCCUCUUGUCCCAAUUGAUAUUCCACAUGAAACAGAGGGCCAGAGUAGGGGGAGUCAUCCCAAACAUCUACAGAGGCACCACCACUAUCGACUUUCGCCUCACAUGCUCCGGGUACCUAUGUCACUAUUCCCAUGAUUUUUCUUGAGAAAUUGGUCGUAGAUCAGCACCAAACUAGGACCUUGGUAGACCAGAUUGUGAAUUAGAUGGUUUGGAGAACUUUGUUCAAGAUCAUUUCCAGGCCACAGAUGCUAAAGAGUUCAAAGAACAAAUAGCCUAGAUGCGAACUCAGGUUUCUUAACUGGAUGAAAAUCCAGUACAUGUACCCACUCCGGUCAUGCUAGAUUCUUUGAUGAAAUUGCUAAAUUAGGCACCCUCCACUUAAUUAUUUGAUGAUUUAUGGGGUAACUUACCUAAGCGUGAGUCAGACAAGAAAGAAAAAACCUAGAGAAUAUGAUGAUGAGCUAUCAGCUGACAUGUCUAGAGAAGAAAGAAAGCAACACAAGAAAGCAUGCAGGGCAUCAAAGAAGGGAGCUCGUGAAAAAAGCACUUGAACAACAACAAAGAGAUGCAAUGUUAGUUGGGGAUUCUGGUAGCAGAGCACCUAUCUCGGUGAGCUGAAGCCAACCUGAUCAUGUGCCGAAUUCUGAGAGUGCACCCCUUGAUAUGGGUGUCAAUGCUGAUUUGGGACCGACGCCUAGAGCGUCGUAGGUAUGACUCCUCUUCAUAGCCUUAUUUUGUUUUGUUUUUCUUUAUUUGACUUUGAGGGCAAAGUCCUUUUUUGGGAGGGGUGAGUAACCUGCCAUUUUAAGGUGUUAGAAUGAAUGGAGGUUGACUCUCUGUUAAUUGUGAAAAAUAGUUUUGUGGGUAUGCAACAACUGGUUUCUGUGUAAUAUUUACCUUGAUCUGAGAUUUGAACGUUAGGAUCUUUAUUGACAUCUAGAUACUUACUUGUUGAACACUGCCAGUUUGAUAAAUAAAUAGGUGAACCAAGAAGCUGGAGAAUGUAAUCCUGUGUCAUGUGUGUUUGUGAAUGUUGUUUGAAGUCCAACACUAGGAGCAGAAACUAGAACUUGCCCGAAUUGUCUAGCUUAAAUCUGAGAAUAACCUGAUAAGAAAGGAUCAGUAGAUCAUUUUUGUUAAGCCAUUAAAAAUCCCAAAAAAAAAUAAAAUAAAACAACCAAAUUAAAGCGUAUAACUUGAAACUGAUUUGAGACUAAAAGUGAGAUUUUGUUCUUACCCAAUAAAUAUCAUAUCCUUUGGUUUUCGAAGAUACGAUGUUACAACUCAGGUCAAAAUUCUAAGUUGAGGGUGAUUGCAAUCCGAGCAGAAAAAAGAAGUGAAAAAAAGGUUCAACCAGUGAGUUGAGUGCAUACAAAAAAAAGGUAUAUAUAUAAAAAAAAUUUAAAUAAAAGAAAACAAGAAGAAAAAAAUAGUUGGUAGAUAUGCUCAAAUGAAGUAAAAGAGGGAAUUGCUCAGAAAGGAGUUGUGUGCCAACGAAACUUUGAAGAACCAAAGAACCAGUCAAUCACAAAUCCAAAUAUCAUUACCUAGUCGGAGACUAUGUUACAAACCGAUAAAGUCCAACAAUGAUCCUAUUCCGCAUGAUUGAAAUAUAGAGUACAGAAAGCAAGUGCAACCCUAGCGUUGUUUGUUGUUAGUGUUAGAAUUUCUUCGAGAGUGUGAGCGUAGUACUUAGUCCCAAUUAUCAUGAGUGAAGGAUUUCUUUGGUGUGAGGACACAAUGAUUGCAUUCGAGAGUAGAUUGUGUUAGCUGAUAAUUCAGUCAUAAGCAUGAUUAACCGUAAGUAAUGAGAAAUCGUAGAUUGAUCCUUGCAUGUUAGAUUCAUGGUUUUGGAUACAAUUUGUGUUUGAGAUGGCUAUUGUGUAGUUUCAAAGUGUUUGAAUAAUUUGAGGAUUUGAAUGUGUUGUUAUCUUAUCAUUUGAGGACAAGUAAUGGUUUUAAGUUGAGGGUGUUGAUGUGCCGCGAAAUCUUGACACAUUUGAUGCUUGAAAACUAAUACUAGAAUUGAGUGUAUUUUUUUAUACUUUGAUGUGUUUGUUGAAUGUGUAGACAGAUUCUUACUUGUGUGAAAAAAUGAAAAAAGAAGCAAAAAAUGAUGGGAAUCAAGUAAAGAUCACGGCCAACCUCAGGAACUGUGAUUCUCAUAACGCUCUGUGGUUGUGCUCGUGAAGUUGAACCAAUAUUGGGCCUUGGGAAGAUGGAGUGCACGAGCAACUAAGUGAAAACCACAGAAGGCUCCACGGAUCGUGGUAAUUAUAACAGCCUGUGGUGGUGAUCAUGAAGAUGAUCCAGUACUUAAACCUUGAGAAACAUAAAUGGAAAGUUACCAAGUGAAGAUCUCGGGCACAUUUACGAACCGUGGUAAGUGCUAUGAUAUGUGGUGUUGUCCGUAGUACUCUUUCCAGUGUGAUGGCAUUGAAGACCCGACUUUGGAAAAUUCCAAGUAAAGAGCCCAGAUGGACCGUGGUCAUGUUGUCCGUGAUGCAUGUUCUAGUGAUCAAGUAUUGAAGACCCAAUUUUGGGGAGUUCCAAGGGAAGACCAUGGAGGGCUUCACAAAUCGUGAAGCCCUUGACGGGUCGUAGAGUUGUCCAUGUUGCCUGCAUUUCAUUCCUACUCUUUCUAAAAUACUUUAUUUGAAUUAAUUAGGUCAUUUUUAUUUUUUUUGUCUCUUCUUACCAUGAACGAAAAAUACUUUAUUUGAAUUAAUUAGGUCAUUUUUAUUUUUUUGUCUCUUCUUACCUUGAACAAAAAAUACAUUUCCAGUAUUCGAAGUUUUGGAUUUUUGAUUUGAAUAUUGAAUUAAGUUUGAAGUUUGAUUUUCUAGCUCUUGAAUUAUCAAAGUAGUUGUUGAUUUGUUUUUUCUUGUAAGUACUUUCUAACAUGUUUUCAAUCUAUAUUUUUGAACAUUUACUUGAAAUAGUAAGUAGCUAAACACCAAAACUGGGGUUGUGGGAUCCAUGACGUAAUUCUAAUUAUGAUUUGGUAAAAUGAGUGAAAAGCAAUGUGAAAUUACAAACUACAGUUUAGCUUUCGUUAUUUAUGUAUUUAGAUGAGUGCACGCAUUAGAGUGAGCCAGUAUCUAUCAUUUGUUCGAGAGAAAAAUGAUAGUUACCAAAAAAAAUGAUUUAACCAAACAAAUUGGAGUUAAAGUUCGAGAAAAAAUGAAGAGAAUUUUAACACCAUUGUAAGCGAGGGUAAAAUUAGUAACAUUCCAGGGCCAAGAGGACUUGAGUAAGAAUUAUCUGAUUAGACAGAGAAGUGUCAGAUAAAGUUAACUCGUGUAGAUUUUGUAAAGAUGAAUUGCCUGAAACUCAAUUACGCAAGAACACUCUAGCAACGUUAUGGGGAACACAAUUCUAGUUUCUUUUAAUUAGUGAAUCAACUUUAUACCUUAAGACUCUAUUAACUGUUUAAUCUGUAUUUCUAAUGCAAAUCUUAAUUAUUAUAACAUUAAAACUAAAUCCAAGUUACUUUCCGUCAUUGUUUCUUAAGGAGAUAAUAACGACAUUCUAGUAAACACGACAAUGAAACCAUUUUUAUAAAGAAAUUCUCUAUGGGAUCGACCUCAACCCACGUUGAAUUUUGUAAAUUGACUUCGACUGUUUAUAUCUCUUAAUUGAGGUGUAAGUUUGGACGUAUCAAAGAUAUAUGACGAGUUAAUAAAUGUGUUCUCAAUCGAAGUACCAAGGCACUAAUCAAGGUCAUUGGCAUCCUUUGCAAAAGAAUCAAGAUUGGAGAGAUCAUGAUGGUCAAUGAAGAGAUCGAGAGUGACGUGAGAGGUAUCAUGCAAGAAUGAAGGAGAGGUACGAUCAUCAAAGCUCAAAUAUGUAAUUACCUUCACAUAACACUAAAGCCCCAGCUAGCCAAUCAAGUAUGAGUGAUCCGGCAUGCUCUGAGGGUUGAGGAUAUGCUAAAUUGUGUGCUAAAGUGGGCAGAGUCAAUGGAUAUGGGGUUAUGGAACUCAAAAACGAUGUCUUAAAUUUGAUCUUUCUCAGAUUUUUACUCUUUGAUUCAAUGAUUAAUAUGAUUUUAUUUUUUGUUGGUAGAAUUAAUUUUUUUUCACUAACUUUCUUGUAUAAUUUAUCAAAUAUGCCCAAAAAGAGGAAUUUUAAAAAAUAUAGCCGAAAAAAUUAAUUUAAAUUUGUUCUCUUUUUCCAUUCACUUUUUAGUUAUUUCACACAUUUUUGCACUAAAAAUGAAAAGGAAAAAAAAGGGAAGAGACUAAUAAUCAAAGAGGUCAAAAAUAAUCAUGUGUGAAAAAAUUAUAUAUACCCCUAUAUAAAAAAUAAAAAGAAAUCACUUUCAUUAGAUUAAAGGAGGAUGCGGGAUGGAAAAAUUAUAUGAAUUGAUACAUUUUUAUAAAUAAUUACUGAUUUAGGCGAUACUUUUUAUUUAUUAUCAUUUAUAGCAAUAUUAUGUUAAAUAUGUAAAUAUGUAUUAAAGUGAAUUAUGUAUACAAUACAUAUAAAUUACAAUUGCUUUUUGAAAUAUAUUAUGUUUGUUUGGUAAAAAUUUGACACAUUGUAUUAAAAUGUGUGAUGAAUGUAUUAUUAUCAUUAAAACUUGUAUUGUAUGUGAGUAAUAAAUUGUUCUUUGUAAUAUGUAUUAAACUUAUAUUAUAAAUGAAUAAAAGUGAUCAAGUGAGAAAAAAUAUUAUUACUAUACAUGUUAAAUAUUUUUUUAUUGUAGUAUAUUUAUUUAAGUUUCCUUUUAAAGAAUAUAUAUGAACCAUUUUUGAGUAGAUAUACGUGAGUUAUUUUUAUAACAGCAAGAUGUUCAUAUUUUUCAAUUAAAAAGAAAAAUCUAAUGAUUUCCAGAUAAAGACCGGAAAAUUUUACCAAAGGAAAAACAUCAAACAAACAACGCAAAAUAUAUACACUCACUGUUGUGCAUCCUAGAAGGAAAAGAAUGGAAUGCUUGGUUUGGAAUCUGUAUUAGUAUAAGAUAAAUUACAUAAUUAAGCCAAAAUACUAGAUUUUAAAACUUAAAAAGGGAUGAGAAAGCUCAACGUAUAUCAUGAUUGAAAGAGCACACCGGAUUUAAUUUGCUGCAAUUACGAAAAUUAAUCUAAUUCAACAGAGAAAUUAUUUAAUUAUAUUUGAAAUUGCACUUUGUUUAGAAACUAACACAGCAAAAUUAUCUAAUGUUUGAAGUAAAAGGCAACUUAAAAUAAAAUACGACAGAAAUAGUUUUGUCCAUAGAAAAGAUAGAGGUAAUAAAUUCUGCAACAACAAACUUACGAGCUAGUAUCCUAAUCAACACAAGAUGAUCAAAGUAAUUAUCCAAACAGAUAGAUGAUAAAUGCAAAACAAAACUUUCGCGGAAUCAAUUGAGCAGGUUAAAUAUCAUCUGCUGCCAUCUCAAACAUAUGCCUUACAGCUUGUCCUCAAACUCGGAUAGAGGGGUCAUCUGAUCCUUCAAACCCUUCCUCUUGCGGAUAUCAAGGACGAGUUGAUGAGCUUGUGAGCCAGCUUCCAAUGGGUCAGAGGACAUCAUUUCCCAAUGAUCAAACACACAUUGUGGGAAGGCUUGACCUGAAGUAGCAGCUCUCAAGGUACCUGAAAAUCCAAAAGACUCAACAACAGGAAGGUAAGCCUUGAUGUUGUAAAGAGGAGUUCCUGGCCUCUGCAUCUCCUCAAACACGUGUCCACGCUUCUGAUUCAGAACACUAUAGAUACCACCAAGGGCUUGCUCCGGAGCCUGAAUUUCCACAAGGUAAACGGGUUCCAACAGGCGGGGUUUAGCAGUAAGCUGAGAAGCAUAGAUAACCCUCCUAGCAGUGGGAAUAACUUGGCCACCACCCCUGUGAAUAGCAUCAGAAUGAAGAACAACAUCACAGACUUCAAAGCAAAUACCUCUCAUGUUCUCUUCAGCCAAUGCACCUUCCUUCGAAGCCCACUGGAAACCAGCAACAACAGAAUCCUUAAUUUCAUUCAGGUACUGAACUCCCUUACACAUAUCCACCACCAUGUUGGGACCAGUUGUCUCAGGACCAAAGCACCAAAUCUUCUUUGCAAGAUCUUUGUCCCAGCCAAACUCCUCAGCCAAGAUCUUGGAACGAACCUUAGGGUCAUCCCUAGGGCCAAUGCGUCCCUC